GUACGGGGGGGCAAGCGUUGUUCGGAAUUACUGGGCGUAAAGGCGCGUAGGCGGCCUGCUAAGUCGGAUGUGAAAUCCCUCGGCUCAACCGAGGAACUGCAUCCGAUACUGGCGGGCUUGAAUCCGGGAGAGGGAUGUGGAAUUCCAGGUGUAGCGGUGAAAUGCGUAGAUAUCUGGAGGAACACCGGUGGCGAAAGCGGCGUGCUGGACCUUUUCUGACGCUGAGGCGCGAAAGCUAGGGGAGCAAACGGG
rnacentral:rRNA from 1 species